AUGAUGGAGGAGGCGAGCACCUCGGCGUCCGGUGGGGCCGCGGGGAACGGCGGGCAGCGCGCGUUCCCGCCGGCGAGAUCGGGAGUGUUCUAUAGGUUCACCCAACAAAACCUCCCAGCUUGGAAACCGGCAAUGACGCCAGGAUGUGUGAUAACAAUUUUCUUGAUGAUUGGGGUUACUUUUGUACCUGUUGGGCUUGUUUGUCUUCAUGCUUCAAAUCAUGUUGCAGAAAUUGCUCACCGUUAUGAUAUAGAUUGUGUACCUAAUGCUUACAAAAGAAACAAGCAAGCCUAUAUUAAGGACAGCUCGAUUUCAAAGAACUGUACGCAACAAGUGAAGGUUAAUUACCAUAUGAGAGCGCCAAUUUAUGUGUAUUAUGAACUUGAGAACUUUUACCAGAAUCAUCGCAGGUAUGUCAAAAGUAGAAGUGAUAAGCAACUACAUUAUGGUCAGAAGUACACACAUAGUUCAUGUGGUCCUAUUGAAAGGAAUAAUGGCCUUCCAAUUGUUCCAUGUGGCUUGAUUGCCUGGAGCUUGUUCAAUGAUACUUAUGGAUUUACACGUGGAUCCAUGGAAAUAAAGGUUAACAGGAAAAAUAUUUCAUGGAAAAGUGACCGUGAGCAUAAAUUUGGCAAGGAUGUCUAUCCUUUUAAUUUUCAGAAUGGAUCCUUAAUUGGGGGAGGAAAACUUGACCCUGAUUUACCACUGAGUGAGCAGGAAGAUCUUAUAGUGUGGAUGCGAACUUCUGCUCUUCCCCAAUUUCGAAAGCUCUAUGGUGUCAUUGAAGAGGAUCUACAAGCUGAUGAAAUCAUUACUAUGCACAUAGCAAACAAUUACAAUACGUACAGUUUUGGUGGCAAGAAAAGCCUAAUUCUUACAACAUCAACCUGGCUAGGUGGCAAGAAUGACUUCCUUGGAUAUGCAUAUCUUGUCACUGGUUCCUUGAGCCUUUUCUUAACCAUUCUCUUUGCUCUGAUUCAUGUGAAAAAUCCAAGGCCACAAGGUGAUGCCGGUUACCUAUCAUGGAAUAGGCCAAACAGUAAUAGCUAAGCUGUGUACAUAACUGUAUGUGCAAGCUACUACUGGCUAUAACUUAUUUCCAUCGUCCAAUCUAACCAUUGUGAAGAAAAUUGCUGGGCUGGAUUUCCAGAGACUGACAAGUUCAAUUUAGCAAUUAUGCCGCUCGAGAAAGUUGGUGAUCCUGCCAUCUGUGGAAUCGUCAAGGUUACAUGUCGCUGGUGCAGAUGCAUAAAUCGGUGAUACCAACGUCUCAACUGGUUCAUUCGUUGAAGACAUGAUGCUCUAUUUUUGAACUAACUUGCUGCUCAGAUGACGAGCUGUUACAAUCUCUUAAGUCCUAACUCCAGUAACCUUGUUCAUAUGACCUUCACAUGUGAACAAAUAUGCUGUACUGAUUCAUAGCUGAUUUGACAGACAACUUUGCGUUAGUCAUGAUAAGUAGAAAUCUGUCAUGCUCCAGCAACCUUUUCAGCUGCUGUAUUUCAAAAGCUACAACUAUUUCAUUGUCUCCACUUAUUCCUAAUGGUUAUGACUGUCUAUAUUAGUAGCAUCAU